rnacentral:tRNA from 4 species
CGGGAUUUAGCGCAGUUGGUAGCGCACACGUCUGGGGGGCGCGAGGUCGCUGGUUCGAGUCCAGUAAUCCCGACAA